rnacentral:rRNA from 1 species
AGUGAACGCUGGCGGUAGGCCUAACACAUGCAAGUCGAACGGCAGCACAGUAAGAGCUUGCUCUUACGGGUGGCGAGUGGCGGACGGGUGAGGAAUACAUCGGAAUCUACUUUUUCGUGGGGGAUAACGUAGGGAAACUUACGCUAAUACCGCAUACGACCUACGGGAGAAAGCAGGGGAUCUUCGGACCUUGCGCGAUUGAAUGAGCCGAUGUCGGAUUAGCUAGUUGGCGGGGUAAAGGCCCACCAAGGCGACGAUCCGUAGCUGGUCUGAGAGGAUGAUCAGCCACGCUGGAACUGAGACACGGUCCAGACUCCUACGGGAGGCAGCAGUGGGGAAUAUUGGACAAUGGGCGCAAGCCUGAUCCAGCCAUACCGCGUGGGUGAAGAAGGCCUUCGGGUUGUAAAGCCCUUUUGUUGGGAAAGAAAAGCAGCAGGUUAAUACCCCGCUGUUCUGACGGUACCCAAAGAAUAAGCACCGGCUAACUUCGUG